rnacentral:rRNA from 1 species
UGAGGGAUAUUGGACAAUGGGCGGAAGCCUGAUCCAGCCAUGCCGCGUGAAGGAAUAAGGCCCUAUGGGUCGUAAACUUCUUUUGACGCAGAGCAAUAAGGGACACGUGUGUUCCGAUGAGAGUAUGCGUCGAAUAAGCAUCGGCUAACUCCGUGCCAGCAGCCGCGGUAAUACGGAGGAUGCGAGCGUUAUCCGGAUUUAUUGGGUUUAAAGGGUGCGUAGGCUGUCGGUUAAGUCAGCGGUGAAAUCAGCACGCUUAACGUGUUGUUUGCCGUUGAAACUGUCCGUCUUGAAUUCGCUCGUCGUGGGAGGAAUGUGUGGUGUAGCGGUGAAAUGCAUAGAUAUCACACAGAACACCGAUUGCGAAGGCAUCUCACGAGAGCGUUAUUGACGCUGAUGCACGAAAGCGCGGGUAUCGAACA